UGAGUGAGCAUGUGAAUACACACACAUACACACAUAUCAUCCACCGGCUGUCUAAAAGAGUGCCACCUUUUGUGAACGAAGCAUAUUUUCUUUGUUCACAUAUUUUAAUAACUUUUCUACACCCUUAUUUCUUUUAAUUAAAAGGAUUUAUGUAUUCUUUUACAUAUGGAAUUGUCUUGACUUAAUUUGGAGAAAAAUUUCACAUGGUUAUGAUUUAGAAUUAUUAGCCCAGUAGUCUGUAAAGCCAAGCUCAAGAAAAUGCAAAAAAGUGGUGUCAUAAACACCAUAUUCUCUGAAUUUGGUUAAUUUCUUUUUUUCUAAAUCUAACACAAUUGUAAACUCCUAGGUAAAAAGGGAAACCAUAAUAUAAAUUAGAGCUGAAAAGUAAUAAAAAUACUACAUAUCAAAAUUUGUGGGGAAAAGCAAAAGUGAUAUCUUGAAGGAAAAUUAUAGGUAGAAUAAAACUAAAGGAAGGAAAUAAUCAAAUGAAAAGCAGAAAUUGAUGAAACGAUGAAGAUUAUAGAUCCAGGACAAAAGCUGAUUCUCUGAAAGUAAUAAUAAAAUAGAUAUUUUUGACAAUAGUUGUCAUAAAAAAGAGAAAUAGCACAAAUUUGAAAAUACAGGAUAACAGAUUAUAGCACAGUUAUAACAAAGAUUACAAAGAGAUCCUAUAAGAAUGUCAUCCUAUUACAUUUUAAAACUGGCCAGGUGCAGUGGCUCACGCCUGUAAUCCCAGCGCUUUGGAAGGCUGAAGCAGGAGAGUUGCUUAAGGCCAGGUGCUCAAGACCAGCGUGGGCAACAUAGCAAGACUCUGUCGCUACCAAAAAAAAAAAAAAAAUUAAAAAUUAGUCAGGUGUGGUGGCACAUGCCUGUUGUCUCAGCUACUGGGAAGGCUGAGGUGGAAGGAUCACUUGAGCCCAGGAAUUCAAGGCUGAGGAUGAGCUAGGAUGGUGCCACUGCACUCAGCCUGGAUGACACGAUGAAACCCUGUUUCCAAGAAACAAACAAACAAACAAUUCUCACUUAAGAAAACGGGGUUUCACCAUGUUGGCCAGGCAUGUCUUGAACUCCUGACCUCAAGUGAUCCACCCACCUCCGCCUUCCAUAGUGCUGGGAUUACAGGCGUGAGCCAGCAUGCCUGGCCGCCUUUCUCUUUUCUUCAGCAUUUCCCUUGAGUACCAGUUACUGCAAAGACCCCUGGAGUCGGGGUCCAUCCUGGGUCUUGCAGGGACUGAUUCUGUCUGGUGUUGGGCUAUGCACAGGUGACUGGUGGAUUCCAGGGUUCUCCCCACAUCUGCUUCCGUUGAACGCUGUCAAGGCAGCCAUCCAAAGGCCCUGGUCCUCUCCAUGUGUAGCGGGAGGGUCAGUCUGCAUCCUUUCCUUCUAGACCUUACAGCUUUUGCAUUUUAAAACUCGAGGGACAAUAGUCAUCUCCUAAAAAUAGCAGCAGUGACAUAGCUCCGCAGUCAGUUUUGCUGGCACUGGGAAUUCAGCUUUUGUCUCUGGUGUUAGAUAAUGGGCAGGUUUCUAGGAAAUGAAUUCCAUGUAGAGCCGGGUUCAGUUGACCUCACUGGAGACCUUGACCCCACCUUGCGGCACCGUGGGGUCCUUCAGUCAUCUCCCUGCUGACUUCCAUGCUUUGGAGGGUCCAGGUCUUUGGGGGACGUGUUUCCUUGCGAGUGCAAAGGCCCUAGACACAUAAGAGUCAUGUUUUGGGAAGCUGGCACGGCCUGGGAUGGGCCCUCAGGAGUGAGGGAAGGGGCAGUGCCUUGUCACCUGCAUGUCCUCUGUUGAAGAGUGAACUGCACCAGGCUGUCUCUGAGGCUCUUUCACACACUGUGAUGGGUGGAAGGCCACUUCCAGCUGCAAGUACAGGUCCUGUAGGCAGGCAGCUCAUUCUGGUUUGCCUGGGACUUUCCUGUUUUUUGUUUUUAGCACUGAAAAUCCUGCAUCCUGGGAAACCCCUCUGUCCCCAGGGAACUGGGAUAGUCACCCCGCCUAUGAGCAAGGCCACCCUUAGGCUGAGGCUGCACACAGAGUGCUGCCUAAGAGAAGCUGAAGCACCCACCAACCACAGAAUUUCUCCUUUAGCACUAUCUGGCCCCUGACUUCGGAGGAAAGCAGCGUGUGAAGUUACAUUAUAUGGAAGGAAGCAUUGGACUAAACUUAGUCCCUUAUACUGCGUUCUUUUAUCACACAAGAAAGCCAUCACCCAGCCAGGGGCAGGGCCCACACGGGGACACAGAAGAGAUAGAUCUUCUUGGGAGGAUUUUGGGAGAUAGGAGAGCCCUUGAUCAGAGAGGGCCCAUGGGGUGGAGGGUGGGACUGAAUUGGAGCUGGGGAAAAGUAGAUUAAGUACAUUUCUUGAAAAAAUUCGGUUACUUAAGAGAUGCUAGAGAAUCUAUGGUCCAUUUCUGUUUAAUAGAAAUCAUCAUUUUUAAAUUUUAUCAAGUGUGAACAAAUUUGAACCAUUGGGUUUGUUUAUGAGGCACAAGUGUUUUGAGUUAAUUUUGAAAAACCCCAAACCUAUCUCAUUUGUUAGAGACAGUGACUUACAGUGACUCUACUAAUAAUUUUAUUGGGUCUAAGAAUAUUUAAGAUACUCUUGGCUGGGCGCAGUGGCUCAUGCCUCUAAUCCCCCAGCGCUUUGAGGGGCUGAGGUGGGUGGAUUGCCUGAGCCCAGGAGUUCAAUACCAGGCUGGGCAACAUGGCAAAACCCCAUCUCUACAAAAAAAUACAAAAGUUUUCUGGUCAUGUGGCAUGCAUCUGUAAUCCCAGUCACACAGGAGGCUGAGGCUGGAGAGUCACCUGAGCCCAGGAAGUCAAGGCUGCAGUGAGUGGUGAUCAUGCCACUGCACUGUAGUCUGGGCAAGGGAAGUGAUACUGUGUCUCAAAAAAGAAAAAGAAAAAAAAAAA
ensembl:lncRNA